rnacentral:rRNA from 1 species
AGUCGAACGCGAAAGGGGGCAACCCCCGGUAGCGUGGCAGACGGGUGAGUAACACGUGGGUAACCUACCCGGAGGUGGGGGAUAACCCUUCGAAAGGAGGGCUAAUACCGCAUGAUACCGCGAGGAUUUCGAUCCUUGCGAUCAAAGCUGGCCUCUGUUUACAAGCUAGCGCCACCGGAUGGGCCCGCGCCCCAUUAGCUAGUUGGUGAGGUAACGGCUCACCAAGGCGACGAUGGGUAGCCGGCCUGAGAGGGCGAUCGGCCACACUGGAACUGCGACACGGUCCAGACUCCUACGGGAGGCAGCAGUGAGGAAUAUUGCGCAAUGGGCGAAAGCCUGACGCAGCGACGCCGCGUGGAGGAUGAAGGUCUUCGGAUUGUAAACUCCUGUCGAGUGGGACGAAUGCCGUGAGGGUGAACAAUCCUUGCGGUUGACGGUACCGCUGGAGGAAGCCCCGGCUAACUCCGUGCCAGCAGCCGCGGUAAUACGGAGGGGGCUAGCGUUGUUCGGAAUCAUUGGGCGUAAAGGGCGCGUAGGCGGCCGAUCAAGUCGGAGGUGAAAUCCCUCGGCUCAACUGAGGAAUUGCCUUCGAUACUGUUCGGCUUGAGUCCUGGAGAGGGUAGCGGAAUUCCCGGUGUAGCGGUGAAAUGCGUAGAGACCGGGAAGAACACCAGUGGCGAAGGCGGCUACCUGGACAGGUACUGACGCUGAAGCGCGAAAGCUAGGGGAGCAAACAGGAUUAGAU